GAUCCUGGCUCAGGACGAACGCUGGCGGCGCGCCUAACACAUGCAAGUCGAACGGAGUUAUUUUCUUCACUCCGAGCUUUUUGCCAGUUAGCCGGAGCGGCAAUCGGUUUUGCCCAGCAUAAAAAGCAAAACCGAUUUAGGCUCAUAAAGUAAGACUAACACAGAGGGCAGAAAGUUGGGAGUGAAGAAAUAACUUAGUGGCGAACGGGUGAGUAACGCGUGAGUAACCUGCCCUGGAGUGGGGGACAACAGUUGGAAACG
rnacentral:rRNA from 1 species